rnacentral:rRNA from 1 species
AACGAGAUUCUGGGUAGCUUGCUACCUUGAAUCUAGUGGCGAACGGGUGAGUAACACGUAGGAAUUUGCCUUAGAGUUUGGGAUAAAAUACCAAAUACGCUCUUAACAAACUUUCUAACGAUAAACAUCAAAAUGUAUAUCUGUAGAGAGUUUCGAAGAGGAAAGAUUUAUCGCUCUAAGAGAAGCCUGCGUCGGAUUAGGUAGUUGGUGGGGUAAUGGCCUACCAAGCCGAUGAUCCGUAGCUGGUCUGAGAGGACGAUCAGCCACACAGGGAUUGAGAUACGGCCCUGACAUCAUUGGAUGGCAGCAGUGGGGAAUAUUGGACAAUGGGGGAAACCCUGAUCCAGCGAUGCCGCGUGAAUGAAGAAGGUAUUAGUACUGUAAAGUUCUUUUACUCGUGACGAUGAUGACGGUAGCGAGAGAAAAAGCACCGGCUAACUCUGUGCCAGCAGCCGCGGUAAUACAGGGGGUGCUAGCGUUGUUCGGAAUGACUGGGCGUAAAGGGUACGUAGGCGGUUUUAUAAGUAGGGUGUGAAAUCCCCGGGCUUAACCCGGGAACUGCAUUCUAUACUGUAGACUAGAGAUCGAUAGAGGAAACAGGAAUUCCUAGUGUAGGGGUAAUAUCCAUAGAUAUUAGGAGGAACACCAGUGGCGAAGGCGAGUUUCUGGGUCGAAUACUGACGCUGAGGUACGAAAGCGUGGGGAGCAAACAGGAUUAGAUACCCUGGUAGUCCACGCCCUAAACGAUGAGUGCUA